UUACUGUUAGCGCCGCACGGCCCCCAGCGGCGGUGCCGUUGCGACGCCGCUCAGCGGCGGUGCCCUCCGCCUAGGGUAACUACGCUAUGUUGCUAUGGUUACCGGAUUGUUUUGUUUUGUUUACUUUCUUUCGGCUCGAUUUUGACAAUGUCUGGCUAGAAUCUGAAUAAUUACGAAAGAUAAAGACGAAAGAUGUGAUUGAUGACUUGCAAAAAUGUUGUUUGAGUGAAAAGGAAGAAUUUUGGCUAUGAAUUUAAGCAUGAACACUGUUCGUUACGCCGGAGAGUGACAAUUUGUCGUUACGGCUCGGCUCGGCUCCUGGCUCCUGGCUCCUGUUGUACGAGGCUCUGUGGUAUCGGCUCAGGCCGUUAGCGCUGGAAGAAGGAGGAGGAAUGGAGGAGAAAAUAUAGAGGACUGAGAGCCCGUGAA